GGAGAGAGGAGGGGUCCGAUGAGAAGAGAUACAGUAAUAUUGACAAAAGGACAAAUCAGCGAAGUUAACAAAUUCGGUUCCACCCUUCUACAGUUGACAUCCUAGACUAUCAAUCAGGCUAAAAGCAUUUCCAUUCUAAGGCCAUUUCCCAAGUUGCAACACGCCGGGACCUGCACAGAAGAAAGAGCCCUCAAGGCUCCCCAUCAACCACUAUCUUCAGCUACAAGUCUAGGUAACAAAGGUUCAACCAAAGAAAUCAGAAUAGUCUGUAAGAAGCAAGAAAAACCUCAAGACAGUGACGUGUAAUCCCAGCUAAAUGUUUUGCUAGACUGAAAGGAACAGGGCCUUGUACAUUUUCAUCUUUUGACCUUGUUGAUGGAAGGCAUGGAAUAAAAUUGUGUUUACCCGAAUUUUACUACAGCAGAGCCAGAGGAAAUCAGCUAACGUCGGAAGUUAGCAUAAAUGUCUUAAAAACUUCAUCUUCUGAAGCCAGUCGUAACAAUGCCACUCAAAAGAAAAUGAAAAAAAGAAAGUACUUCCAAAUGCUGAGAGAGAUUUCUAUCUUCCCAUCAUUUCAACAGCAACUGCUAUAAAAUAUGCUCUAAAACAAACACAGAGCACUAAAAAUUCCACUGUUUAAGCUAAAAGUCAAACAUCUGCCUCCUGCUUUCUAGUUUCACCUUGGUUCCUGAGGGUCACCACUAAAACUGCAGAAAUUUGGAGCCUUCUUCCACUCCAUGCAUUUCCAAGAGUUAGUUCUAAGAUUUUGUAAUCAUCUUCAUUAAUGAAUCAUGGCUUCUCUUUCAGCGUGAAGAGACAAGGAAAGAAGGAUCACCUAAAGAGUGAAAUCAGGGAGUUCCUUCUGUGGCUUGGGGGAAAUGAACCCAACUAGUAUCCAUGAGGAUGCAGGUUCAAUCCCUGGCUUCACUCAGUGGGUCAGGGAUUUGGUGUUGCCAUGAGUUAUGGUGUAGGCCAGCAACUGCAGCUCCAACUUGACCCCUAGCCUGCAAACUUCUAUGUGCCACAGAUGUGGCCCUAAAAAGCAAAAAAUCAACAAAUAAAGAGUGGAAUCAGGAGUUCCUA
rnacentral:lncRNA from 1 species